UGGGGAAUAUUGGACAAUGGGGGCAACCCUGAUCCAGCAAUGCCGCGUGUGUGAAGAAGGCCUUCGGGUUGUAAAGCACUUUAGGCUGGGAAGAAGGUGUAUUGUUUAAGAGAUGAUACAUUUGACGGUACCGGCAGAAUAAGCACCGGCUAACUCUGUGCCAGCAGCCGCGGUAAUACAGAGGGUGCAAGCGUUAAUCGGAGUUACUGGGCGUAAAGGGCGCGUAGGCGGUUUAAUAAGUUAGAUGUGAAAUCCCUGGGCUUAACCUAGGAACUGCAUCUAAGACUGUUGAGCUAGAGUAUUGUAGAGGGUAGUGGAAUUUCCGGUGUAGCGGUGAAAUGCGUAGAGAUCGGAAGGAACACCAGUGGCGAAGGCGGCUACCUGGACAAAUACUGACGCUGAGGCGCGAGAGCGUGGGGAGCAAACAG
rnacentral:rRNA from 1 species